UCUGUUUGAUCCUGGCAGAGGUUACUGCUAUCGAGGUUCGACUAAGCCAUGCGAGUCGAAUGUAGCAAUACAUGGCGAACUGCUCAGUAACACGUGGACAACCUGCCCUUAGGACGGGGAUAAACCCGGGAAACUGGGUAUAAUACCCGAUAGGUCUCGAUUGCUGGAAUGCAUCGAGAUUUAAAGCACCGGCGCCUAAGGAUGGGUCUGCGGCCUAUCAGGUAGUAGUGGGUGUAGCGUACCUACUAGCCUACGACGGGUACGGGUUGUGAGAGCAAGAGCCCGGAGAUGGAUUCUGAGACACGAAUCCAGGCCCUACGGGGUGCAGCAGGCGCGAAAACUUUACAAUGCUGGCAACAGCGAUAAGGGAACCUCGAGUGCCAGGUUACAAAUCUGGCUGUCGAGAUGCCCAAAAAGCAUUUCAUAGCAAGGGCCGGGCAAGACCGGUGCCAGCCGCCGCGGUAACACCGGCGGCUCGAGUGGUAACCGUUAUUAUUGGGUCUAAAGGGUCUGUAGCCGGCCGGAUAAGUCUCUUGAGAAAUCUGGCAGCUUAACUGUCAGGCUUUCAGGAGAUACUGUCUGGCUCGAGGCCGGGAGAGGUGAGAGGUACUUCAGGGGUAGGGGUGAAAUCUUGUAAUCCUUGAAGGACCACCAGUGGCGAAGGCGUCUCACCAGAACGGACCUGACGGCAAGGGACGAAAGCUAGGGGCACGAACCGGAUUAGAUACCCGGGUAGUCCUAGCCGUAAACGAUACUCGCUAGGUGUCGGCCACGGUGCGACCGUUGUCGGUGCCGUAGGGAAGCCGUGAAGCGAGCCACCUGGGAAGUACGGCCGCAAGGCUGAAACUUAAAGGAAUUGGCCGGGGGAGCACCACAACGGGUGGAGCUUGCGGUUUAAUUGGAUUC
rnacentral:rRNA from 1 species